AGAGAAGAAGAGAAAUGCCAAGAAGUUGGAGAAGGAAAGCUGCUGUCGAGGAUCAAAAGAUGCAAGGAGGUGACUGAGAUGUAAUCUUAGAGGAAAUCAACAGGCCCAAGAAACUUCAAAAGAACAAAAACCUGGAGUUGAGCAAGUGGAUCCUCAUCGGGUCCCCUGUCACACGUCGUCAGGAAGAGCUGUGCCUACGUGCCAGACUCAGUAGACCCCUCUCCCAUCACUUUCCUGGGGACUGGUGUCCCUUGUUUGGAAAUGACUGUAUCUGUUACUUUAUUUGUCUGUCAUUGGUAGCGAUGUCAGCCUCUAACUUAAUUUCAAUUCAGUUGUCACUUUGCUACUAGAGUUAGAAGAUGAAGGAAUAGGAAAUUAAGGCAUUCCAGUAAUUUAGAAAAGUGACAGCAAUACCUUCUUCCUGAAUGUGGUAAUACUUUAGAAGCUGGAUUGUUUUAUUUCUUUAUAUAUUAUUGUAAAUAAUAAAGUCAUUGA